ACUGGAACUUGGUUUGACUUUUCCUGUGUUUUGAAAUUAGCUCUUCUCAUGAGGAUCCCCUUCAAAGCAAGAAUUAAGACAGGAACGUCUACACAAUUACAGAUGUUGUGAGCAUCAAGAAUGCCAUCAGGGGAGAUUCCAGGAGGUGAAUCAUCACGUCAGUCAGAAAGAAACCAUAAUCCCUGGGAUGAAAGACUCUUGGUCGAGAGUCAGUUUUUUGGCAAAACUUCAUUAUGGUUCUUGAAAACUGGAAAACUAAAAACAACUUGUGUAAAUGUGUUGCAUAUUUGACUAUUUUGACCUGCCUAGAGCUUUCUGAAUGAACCUAUGCCAGAAUACAACGAUAUUGACCUAUUAAAAACACAAACUUUUAUGCUGCAUGCUGCUGAAUUUCAAUGCAUUUAAAAGUGGAUGCUUCUCACUCUACUUUCGUUGUGUUAAAAGUGAUGGCUAACUUUUUUCUUUUUUUUGAGGAAGAUCAGCCCUGAGCUAACUACUGCCAAUCUUCCUCUUUUUUUGCUGAGGAAGACUGGCCCUGAGCUAACAUCCAUGGCCAUCUUCCUCUAUUUUAUACGUGGGACACCUACCACAGCAUGGCUUUUGCCAAGUGGUCCCACGUCCGCGCCUGGGAUCCGAACCAGCAAAUCCCAGGGCACCGAGAAGCGGAACGUGCGAACUUAACUGCUGCACCACCAGGCCAGCCCCCAUGGCUAACUUUUUUAAGAUCAAAACUAAAGCUCAAAGAUUUCUAGUAGCAAAGGACCCUGGAUCCCUUUUUCCAGAAUCAUCCUUAAUCCCAGGGGAGAAAAGAAGGGCCCCUGACCUGGGCAGUCACAUCAGAGGGACUUCUCUAGCCCUCCACCAGCCAUGCCCUUCACAGAAGACAAACAAAGGUACGCACACAGAGGCCAACCAACCCCUCUCCAGAUCACACCCAGAUCUAAAAGAACUGGCUGCUCCUUAACUGCUUAAAAAACCUCCGAUGGCUUCAGCAUUGACACUCCAGAGGACAGCUCCCUCCAGAAGAUUCUGGCACCCUCCAGAAGGGAUUCUAGAGGAUACGUCACCUUCACUCCCACUCAUG
rnacentral:lncRNA from 1 species